UACCUGGUUGAUCCUGCGAGUAGUCAUAUGCUUGUCUCAAAGAUUAUCCCAUGCAUGUGCAAGUAUGAACAAAUUUGAACGAUGAAACUGUGAAUGGCUCAUUAAAUCAGUUAAAGUUUGUUUGAUGGUAUGUCCUACUCGGAUAACCGUAGUAAUUCUAGAGCUAAUAGGUGCAACAAACCCCGACUUCUGGGUGUGGCGCAUUUAUUAGAUAAAAGGCUCACGAGGGCUCUGCUCGCUGAUCCGAUCAUUCAUGAUAGCUCGAUAGAUCGCAUGGCCUUUGUGCCGAUGAUGCAUCAUUCAAAAUUAUUCCCUAUCAACUUUCGAUGGUAGGAUAGGGGCCUACCAUGGUAGUGACGAGUGACGGGUGAUGUAGACUUAGGGUUCGAUUCCGGGGGGGGGAUCCUGAGAAACAAAUACUACAUCAGAGGAAGGCAGCAGGCGCACAAAUUCCCAAUCCUUACACGGGGAGGUAGUGACAAUAAAUAGCAAUACCGGGCGCAUUAGUGUCUGGUAGUUGGAAUGACUAAAAUCUAAAUCCCUUAUCGAGGAUCCAUUGGACGGAAGUCUGGUGCCAGCAGUCGCAGUAAUUCUAGCUCCAAUAGCGUAUAUUUAUGUUGUUCCAGUUAAAAAGCUUGUAGUUGGACCUUGUGCUGGGUCGGCCGGUCCGCCUCACGGCGAGCAUCGACCUAGUCGACCCUUUGGCUGGCAUCGCGCUCCUAGCCUUAAUUGGUUGGGUCGUGUUUUCGGCAUCGUUACUUUGAAGAAAUUAGAGUGCUCAAAGCAAGCCAUCUCUCUGGAUACAUUAGCAUGGGAUAACAUCAUAGGAUUCUGGUCCUAUUGUGUUGGCCUUCGGGAUAGGAGUAAUGAUUAAUAGGGACAGUCGGGGGCAUUCGUACUUCAUAGUCAGAGGUGAAAUUCUUGGAUUUAUGAAAGACGAACAACUCCGAAAGCAUUUGCCAAGGAUGUUUUCAUUAAUCAAGAACGAAAGUUGGGGGCUCGAAGAUGAUCAGAUACCGUCCUAGUCUGAACCACAAACGAUGCCGACCAGGGAUCGACGGAUGUUGCUUAGAGCACUCCGCCGACACAUUAUGAGAAAUCAAAGUCUUUAGGUUCUGGGGGGAGUACGGUCGCAAGGCUGAAACUUAAAGGAAUUUACAGAAGGGCACAACCAGGCGUGGAGCCUACGGCUUAAUUUGACUCAACAUGGGGAAACUUACCAGGUCCAGACAUAGCAAGGACUGACAGACUGAGAACUCUUUCUUGAUUCUAUGGGUGGUGGUGCAUGUCCAUUCUUAGUUGGUGGAGCUAUUUGUCUGGUUAAUUCCAUUAACGAACGAGACCUCAGCCUGCUAGCUAGCUAUGUGGAGCCAUCCCUCUGCAAUCACAGGCUUCUUAGAUGGACUAUCCGAGUUUAGGCGACGGAAGUUUGAGGCAAUAACAGGUGUGUGAUACCCUUAGAUGUUCUGGGUUGCACGCGCGCUACACUGAUGUAUUCAACGAGUAUAUAGCGUUCGCAGAUAGGCCCGGGUAAUCUUGGGAAAUUUCAUCGUGAUGGGGAUAUAUCAUUGCAAUUGUUGGUCUUCAACGAGGAAUGCCUAGUAAGCGCGAGUAAUCAUCUCACGUUGACUACAUCCCUCCCUUUGUACACACCACCCAUCGCUCCUACCAAUUGAAUGGUCCGGUGAAAUGUUCAGAUCGCGGCGACGGGAGCGGUUCNNNNNNNNNNNNNNNNNNNNCGGUUCACCGUCCCCGACAUCGCGAGAAGUCCAUUGAACCUUAUCAUUUAGAGUAAGGAGAAGUUGUAACAAGGUUUCCAUAGGUGAACCUGCUAAAGGAUCAUUG
rnacentral:rRNA from 16 species